rnacentral:lncRNA from 1 species
UUUUAAGAAACUGUCGACUCAUCCAGCCUACAUGCACGAAGGGCUACCCUAUGAAGUAGGGUGACCCCUCGCGUAGCGCGACGCCCAUGGGGGUACCCCUCGCGCUACGCGACGGGGGUCAAAUUUCGUAUAUAAAUAGGGGUGUCUGGGACUUGAAUUUGAGAGUUGAAACGACGUAAAACGUCAAAAUACACGCUGAGUUAUCAGCUAUAUACUACACAAACACACACAGAUCUCAAAUCGCUGCCGCAAUCAGGGUAAUAACUCAAUCGCUAUUACGAUUCAUUUUCCGGGAUCAAUAUAUCCAAAAGAAUGUCUAAGUGUCGCCCACAUUGGGUUACGCUUUGUCGUUUGUCGAUAAUUCGAUAAAUGAGUUGAAGCGUUAUACUUUGUCGUUUGUCGAUAAUUCGAUAAAUGAGUUGAAGUAUUAUACUUUGUCGUUUGUCGUUAAUACGAUAAAUGAGUUGAAGUAUUGCACUUUGUCAUUCAUUGUGAGAAUUUGAUCUCGUGAGUUAUCGUAACUGCUGUAUUGAUCAUUAACCCGGUUUUGUGUGCAUCAUUUCCUAAAUUAGGAUUAUUAGUCUUAAUACACUUACAAUCAAAGUAGAUGCUAAUUCUCAGAAGAAUCUGAACCAUGAAGCUUGUUAAUUCAAAUACUGCAUGCUUAUAUUGUGAGUUAUUCCUCUUUUGUAAAUUCUUUUCUCACAGUUUAAUUAUAACUUACAGUGAUUAAGUUUAUGUAAUCACCAAGUUACAACCGGUAUGUGGGGUAUUGUGCACAUUACUUGAUAAUCGUCACCAUUGGGGCAGCCAUUGGGUGAUAUGACCAUAAUCACAGACACCAUUGGACGUAUGGGCCAAUGGUCGAGUGGUAAAGUACUGUGGGUAGAUUGGUUGAUAUCAGAAACAUUGUAAAAGAUCUUAACACUGUGAAUUAUAACAAAUGUGUCGUUUUCAGUAAAAUGAAUAAUUCACUCAGUAUUUCCCGCUGACAAAAUCUUUUUAAAACGCGUUUCAGGUAAUUACAAUAGAUUGGAGUAAGGAUUGGAUCCGACACUGAAGGACUUCAAGAAGUGGCUUAUUUUCAAAUUAAGAAAUAUUGUUUUAUUAAAAGCUACCUUUGUAAAACUUGGAAUUUAUUCCAUCCAUUUAAAUAAAAUCCGGUGUUUCUAAACUCUGAUAUUUUUCCUAACUCACGGUCCUGAUGAAAUUUCCGCUGCAAUGUUUUUUUUAAAUAACCACCGGUACCACUGGACUGCUCACGGCACCGAUUCCGGCUAAAUGGGGUCGGGGGUCGUGACAUUAGGAGUCCAAAAGAAAGUAGAGGGAAGCAAAGAAGAUAGAAAGGAAGUUGUUUUAAGCAACACAUAGUGAAUAAGCUCCUAAACUAUAGACUAGGCAAGGCAUUCCUAAUUCCCUAUAGUUAUGGCUCUGAUACCAAUCUGGUAUCAGAGUAUUCCUACUAUAGACUAGGGAAAAGUAUAGCAAUCUUCCUAAUUACCUAUAGUUAUGGCUCUGAUACCAAUCUUGUAUCAGAGUAUUCCUACUAUAGACUAGGGAAAAGUAUAGCAAUCUUCCUAAUUCCCUAUAGUUAUGGCUCUGAUACCAAUCUGGUAUCAGAGUACUCCUACUAUAGACCAGGGAAAAGUAUAGCAAUUCUACCUAAUUCCCUAUAGUUAUGGCUCUGAUACCAAUCUGUCACACCCCAACCGAUGGCGGAAACAUCAGGGUGAGACAUACAAAUUGCUCAAAAUAACAUAACACUAAAUGUGACAAUAUAAAUUAAAUCAUUUUAUUAAAUUCUAAAGUAAGGUACAUUGUCUCAAAUAAACAAACAUAAAUUCAACAUUAACUAAAAUGCUAAAAUGGGUUUCUAAUGCCAUCCUAGCUUUUCUUGAUUCUUGAAUAGUCAACCUGCAAUAUGUAUUAAAAUAAAAUCAACAAAAGCAUGUUGGCGAGUAUACAAGUUUUCAUACAUAGCAUAAUACGUGUUUAAAUUGUUGCUCAUAUCCAAAUGUGAAAUACAAUAUCAUAUUGACAGUAUACUCGAAAUGAUGUUACUCUACGUGUCCAAACCAAAGUUUAACGCAAUUAACGUGCCUACCCAAAAGAGUAUGGGUGGUUUUAACAUAGAUUAACCUAACAAUACUCGUUAAUAUAACGAGAGGGGCGUUUCUCAACCUAUAGCGCUACCAUUGUUAGGGGAAGCUUGCAAAGUUAAUGAACACAUAGUCAUGAGAGUUUACAGUAGCAUAACAUGUCUAACAUGAUUAAAAUGUAUCACAUAGAGUAUGGAUAGAGUGUGCAUAAAAUGUUUGAUGUGAUGGUGUAGUUUGAUAAGUAAUACAUAUUGCACCCAAAAAGUGUAAAACGAAAAUGGGUCUUGUAUACUCACCUUGGAUUGCGUUGCGUUUUCUUG